GUCAACAUUGAGUUGUUCAAUUUCGCUGGAAUUCCUCAAAAUCUGACUAAAUACUUUACUGAGCAGAACUCCAACUUCCUCCCACUGCAAUAAACAAUACCGACAGUCUAAUAAACCUGGGCUCUAUAGUGGGAGGUCUUCCAACCCAAACACUCACCGCAAUACCCGAGCAGCAGGUUCUGACAACAUCCGCCUACCCAAAAUGUGUUACCAACAUGCUGACUGCUCCAACAAUUGUGCAGCAGAUCUAUGUUAAUAAGGUAUGUACUUACAGUAGCUAGACUAACUGAUGUGAAGUAGGCGUUAUGAAUUUCCCUCCCAAUAUUUCUACAUGCCUCAUUUAAAUGUGUUAUGAAAAAAUCUAGGGUAAUCAAUCAUAAUAACAGUAUUCAUUUUAAAAUGUUGACAUGUUUUUGUAUUACUUAUUCAGAUCAUCACAGUCGACAUGAAACCAACGGAGCUGAUAGUCAAUGUCCCAGAUGAAAUGGCAACUGACAUUCCCAGCAAUCUACUGAAUUUCCCAACAACUGGAAAUCAAACUCACUGCUCUGAACAUCAACAAGAAAAAAUGGAAACCUCAGCAGGUAUUGGGGGGAUUGUAGUAUUCAAAAGCUGUGUAGACCUUCAAAAUUUACACGAUUAUACCGUGGUGAACAUGUGUAUUAUACAUCUAUAAAUGUGUCUGCACCUCUGUUUCUCUCUGUUUCAUUUAUAGGCUGUGCUGUUCUUUGAUACAGUAGUGAAUGGAUUGGAUGAGCCUGAUGAGUAAGUGUAACAGUGUUUAGAGAAUGUUGGUCCUGACCAAUUGCUGAGCAGAAACCGUACAUGUAUCAUUUUCACAUGGGGAUACAUUUUUAUUAUGUACUUGAACACAAAUUGGUUAUGAUGACAUUUAUAGUUCCUGUAUUAACUCUAAUGAAUGCACUGCAUUGAUUUAUUUGUAGCCUUUCUGAGUACGUGCUUCAAGGAUUCAUUUGCUCUCGUGUCCAGACUUUCACCAAAACAAGAAUUAAACCUCUCAUCAGAGCUUGCAGACUUGGGCUGGUCGAAGAAAGGUGGUUCUCAAGGAGACACCGCUACACCAACAUGCAACAGACCGACUGCAGAUCCUACUUCAUUGAAACAGGACGAGCAGACUUCUCCGCCCUGUCCAGCACGUUGGAUGGAAGGUUGA
rnacentral:lncRNA from 13 species